rnacentral:rRNA from 1 species
UGAGCAAUCUGCCCUUCUCAUCGGAAUAAGCGUUGGAAACGACGUCUAAUGCCGAAUACGACCUCCUUUCGCAUGAUCGGAGGUGGAAAGCUCCGGCGGAGAAGGAUGAGCUCGCGGCCUAUCAGCUAGUUGGUGUGGGUAAUGGCCCACCAAGGCGACGACGGGUAGCCGGCCUGAGGAGGGUGACCGGCCACACUGGGACUGAGACACGGCCCAGACUCCGUACGGGAGCAG